UGUGCUUUCGGCGCAACGACGCUCCUAAAAUUCUCAGCCUCAGCCGGCGCAGCAUCCGCGCGCUCGUUUGCUGUGGGCUGCUCUGUUUCUGCUUCGUGUGUGAGAGUGUGUGUGUGUACGUACCGGUUCACCUCAGUUCAAUUCGAUAAGAAAGAAGAACAACAGCUCUGGCACCUUCUCUCUCUCUCUCUCUCUCCGGCUGCUCCCUUAUGGGUUUUCGCCAGUGACGAGUCGCACUCUUCUUGUCUUGUGCGCGUCUCAUCUCGCUACUGGCUUUCGCAUGGAAUGCAGCUUAGACGCUCUCAUUAGCUCAAUAACUGAGGUAAUCAUUUAUAAGGCUAUCAAUGUCGUCAAUAAUCGUAAUUACAUAUAUAAUCAAUUAAAAAUUUGUAUAAUUUGGCAAACGUCGUCUCCUCGGGUUCAGCGACCCUUUGAACUUGAACUAUAGCGAUCUGCAGCUCAGGAUAUAUGGCAGUGGAUGACGCGCUGUUUACUACGCUUCUGAUGAAGAAAUUCCCGUGAUUUCGAUGCGAACUGUCAUCAAAAUUCUGCCGAACAAUGAGAGCGAGCAAUUUUUUUGGAAAUCGCUUCAUUUGCUGAUAAUCGAAGUCGCACAAUAAAGGGAAAAUACCUAUUUAAGUCAAGGACAUGCGGCAAAACAGAGCCAAUGAUACUGAAGAGUCUAAAAGAUAAAGAUAUACUAGGAAGGAGUUCAACAGCUAACUAGCAUAUUUCGAUAUAAAGGAUCGAAGACACAUUGACAUUGACGAUGUGCAUGGUUUCCGGGAAAGAUAAAUAUACUGCGGAGGAAGGAAGGUUCUAAAAGGCAUUAUUUAGGGUCUUGGGAUGGAUCUUCCUUCCCUGGAUCGCUUUAGCCAUUCUCAGACGCCCGUUAAUUUCUCAGCUGGGGUCCAACGUUAACUAGCUUUGGCAACCGAUGACAACAUCGUCGGCAUCGGAGAUACAUACAUGUCCCAUCUACCUGGAGGCACUCGGAAGCGCCAUAAAAGUGCCGUAAUGAAAUCAUAAAUUACGCACCAGCGGAAAUACAGCCAAGAAAAAAAACACAAACAAAAAAACGCACAAAAAUAUAAAUAAAAAAAAAAUAAAUAACCAUUCAGACAAUGCGCGCGCCUGCCACAACGCGAAAUGCAUUAAUAUUGAAGCUGAAGCAGAAGUCGACGCUGGAGAUGGAGAUUUCGAGGUGGAGAUGAGGAUGGGACUGGGAUUGGGGCUGGGUCUCUCACAGCAUACAUACAUAUGUACAGACAUAUCCAUAAGUAUAACCGGAAUCGGAAUCGGAAUAAGACUCGGAUUGAACCGGCAUAAGAAAAAUGUUGACAAAAAUGAUUUUAAUUGUUUGUAGCAAACGUUGACACCGCCAGCAACUGCGGCAGUGACAGCUCGGGGAUCGGCUUGGAAUUUGUCCUUAACGGUUUCGGAGUCUGGAGAUGAAUCCAAGAUUACCGAUAUACUACUAUGUAGGUACAUAAUUUGUAUGUAGAUACAAGCAGCCGAAACGGAGAAGGAUUGUCAGCGCACAUUGCCGGUCUUAAGCCAAUUAAUAACGACCAUAAACAUAAACUGUGAUUAAAACGCAACAGUUUGGGACACGGCCUGGCCACGGGCAGAGGGUAAAGAGUACCCAGCACCAAGUACCAAGUAUCGAUGAUGCGUCACAGUCAGUGCACUCCAAAGGUCGUACGCUGAACCCACGGCUGGGAGCCAGACCAGCAGAGAUGAAAUGAAACGAGACCACAGACCAGAG